GACGAACGCUGGCGGCGUGCCUAAUACAUGCAAGUAGAACGCACAGUUUAUACCGUAGCUUGCUACACCAUAGACUGUGAGUUGCGAACGGGUGUGUAACGCGUAGGUAACCUGCCUGGUAGCGGGGGAUAACUAUUGGAAACGAUAGUUAAUACCGCAUAAUAUUGAUUAUUGCAUGAUAAUUGAUUGAAAGAUGCUAUUGCAUCACUACCAGAUGGACCUGCGUUGUAUUAGCUAGUAGGUGAGGUAACGGCUCACCUAGGCGACGAUACAUAGCCGACCUGAGAGGGUGAUCGGCCACACUGGGACUGAGACACGGCCCAGACUCCUACGGGAGGCAGCAGUAGGGAAUCUUCGGCAAUGGACGAAAGUCUGACCGAGCAACGCCGCGUGAGUGAAGAAGGUUUUCGGAUCGUAAAGCUCUGUUGUAAGAGAAGAACGGGUGUGAGAGUGGAAAGUUCACACUGUGACGGUAUCUUACCAGAAAGGGACGGCUAACUACGUG
rnacentral:rRNA from 1 species